CGGCCGCGGUAUUUUGACCGUGCAAAGGUAGCGUAAUCACUUGUCUUUUAAAUGAAGACCUGUAUGAAUGGCAUAACGAGGGCUUAACUGUCUCCUUCCCCUGGUCAAUGAAAUUGAUCUCCCCGUGCAGAAGCGGGGAUAAAACCAUAAGACGAGAAGACCCUAUGGAGCUUUAGACACACAGGUGGACCAUGUCAAAUACCCCCAGCUAAGGGCCUGAACUAAAUGGGACCUGCCUUGAUGUCUUCGGUUGGGGCGACCAUGGGGAAUACAAAACCCCCACGUGGAAAGGGAGCACACCCCUAAGUUACUUCUUCUCCCGCAAGCCAGAGCAACAGCUCUAACAAGCAGAAAUUCUGACCAAACUGAUCCGGUAAAACCGAUCAACGAACCAAGUUACCCUAGGGAUAACAGCGCAAUCCCCUUUUAGAGCCCAUAUCGACAAGGGGGUUUACGACCUCGAUGUUGGAUCAGGACAUCCUAAUGGUGCAGCCGCUAUUAAGGGUUCGUUUGUUCAACGAUUAAAGUCCUACGUGAUCUGAGUUCAAACCGGA
rnacentral:rRNA from 1 species